GAGUUUGAUCGUGGCUCAGGACGAACGCUGGCGGCGCGCCUAACACAUGCAAGUCGAACGGAGUUAUUCUGAAUGAAGUUUUCGGAUGGAUUUUGGAUUAACUUAGUGGCGAACGGGUGAGUAACGCGUGAGUAACCUGCCCUGGAGUGGGGGACAACAGUUGGAAACGACUGCUAAUACCGCAUAAGCCCACGGUGCCGCAUGGCACAGCGGGAAAAGGAUUUAUUCGCUUCAGGAUGGACUCGCGUCCAAUUAGCUAGUUGGUGAGGUAACGGCCCACCAAGGCGACGAUCAGUAGCCGACCUGAGAGGGUGACCGGCCACAUUGGGACUGAGACACGGCCCAGACUCCUACGGGAGGCAGCAGUGGGGAAUAUUGCACAAUGGGGGAAACCCUGAUGCAGCGACGCCGCGUGAAGGAUGAAGUAUUUCGGUAUGUAAACUUCUAUCAGCAGGGAAGAAAA
rnacentral:rRNA from 1 species